AAUCUCCACUUGAGACUUCAUUUUGAGAGAGUUGGAGUGUUGAAAACUUGAAGCCAACCACCAAAAAACCGGUGACCUUGCACCCUACUCAUCAACAGAUGGUGCAAGGCCCCUCCUCCUCCUCUCUUACUUUAUCUUAUCUUUUACUGUGAUUGCCGAAGAAAGAAAAUCGUAGCUUCGCUGCUACACAGUCUCUUGGGAAACCACUUUUGAGUCUGUUUUGAUUUUUAUUGCUCUUUAUUCCGCCUGUCUCUUUCUGAUUGAAACUUUAAUCCACCAUUUCACAUGCUUUUGUUUCUCUUUUUUUCAUCACCCUGUUAAACUUUCUUCUCUCUCUCUUUUUCUUCCCCAUUUCUGAUUUCAAUUCUCAGACUUUGUUUGAUCUCAAUCUCACUUGGGUAUUUCUUAUUUUGCUAUUUUCUUAAAUCUAAGUCUUUUCUUAUUUAUUUUUGUUUUUACAAUUCUGGGUUACUUUGAUUUCAGCUUAUCUUUCAUUUUUCAUUUCUGGGCAAUCUGAGAUCUCAGUUUUUGUCACCUGGGUUGUGCUGAUUUCGAUCCAAUUUGCUUACUUUCCCUCGAAUUUCAAUUCGAAGGCAAUGUCACAAGGCUAUGCGAUCGAGCUCUACUUCGAUCCAGCCCUCGAAAACCAGGUCUUGAAGGCUUGGAAUGUGCUCGCUCGCCGUCAGAUUAGUACCCAACUCAUUGAAAUCGAAUCACGCCCCCACAUCACCCUCUUCUCCAGCCCCUUCAUUGAACCAGCGAAGCUCGAAAACGUAAUCAAAGCCUUCGCUUCGAAGCAAGAACCUUUGGCGUUGUCCUUCUCCUCAAUUGGGAGCCUUCCACAUGACAACAAUGUCCUGUUUCUGUCACCAACUCCUUCAGUUUCGUUGCUUCAGUUUCAGUCCCAAUUGUGCGAGGCAGUGAAGAGAGAAGGCGUUGAAAUUGGGGAGGAGUAUCGCACAGAUUCUUGGGUUCCUUAUUGUGCUGUUGCUCAAGAAGUGCCAAAGACUCGGAUGGCGGAAGCGUUUUGCGUGUUACGGGACUUGAAGUUGCCGGUUGCUGGGUAUGCCAUGGAUAUUGGGUUGGUGGAGUUUUCGCCUGUUCGUGAGUUAUUCUCGUUUGUGCUAGGUUUUGGCUGUAUUUUUUUUAGUGGUGUAGCCUUGUGACGGGGCACAGGGAUUGAUUUUUACUGCCCACAUCAUACCAGUUAAACCCUAUGCCCCAAGUGAGUGAGCUAUCAAACUUGUUUUACUAGUCUUUCUAGUGCCUUGGUUUUGUUGGCUCAUAAGGGAUAUCACCUUCAUCUUCUGAAUGUGUGUGUACACGCUUGUGUAUGCUGUGUGUGCAGUGUAUUUGUUAGACUACUCUCAUCUUUGUAAUCUUCUACUCUUAAGAGAAUUUUGAAAUCUCUCUGCUUCAACAAUGUAGGUAUGAUUUGUGGUAAUCAUCUUUCUCAGACUCUCUUCCUCAUAUGUAAUUGAGCCAAUAAUUUUUGUAUGGCUUUCCUGUAUUGUUGACUGAAGACAGCCUUCCAUCUGUGUGCACAAGUGUGUGUGCCAAGCAUCUCUGAAUCUUCGUUUAUAUAUGAUCUCUUUUUACAUAUUUGAUUUCUAGGUGCAUAUCUUACAGACUACUAUCUACAAGGAACUUACAUCAUUGUACAUUCUUGUGUAUAUCUCUGCUUAUUCGUUUUAUAACUACAAUUGAAAGAUAUCAUUUUGAAGUGACCUAUAAUGUCAAAAGCUACUUACUUAGGUUUCACAAAAUGUGCUGAAUUUUUAAAAAGUUCAUGAAAUGUGAUGAUACAGACAGUCUACUCUGAAUCUUUUGGGAGGUCUUUUUUUUUUUUUUUUUUUUUUGGUUUUUUGUUGUGUGGGGUAGGGGAAGGACGAAGGUUUCCAAAAGGCCUCUCUGCUGCUUUGUAGAGGUAACAUCAUGUUGCUUAUGGUUUUCAUACUUUCCACCCAAUUAGUUUUGCCUAGUGUGAGCUGCAUUGGUUGCCCGCAACCCUUUCUUGGGGACUUCACUCUGUUAACAUGAUUUUGAUUGUUCUUACAAAACCUGUUUGAUUAUAUUCUUACAAUGGACAAUGAAGCUCUACAUGGGAUUGUGCGCAUCUCAUGCUCUUGGUAGAUUCUUUAUAAAGCGUGGAAGUGUCUUUUCGUUUUUCUGUAUUUGGUACAACAGCCAAUGAUAUUUAAUAAUGGAGGUUGUCCGUGUCUUCUCUUCGCUAGUAAUUGUCAAAACUGUCUACGAUUUUAUCAA